UUUAUUUAGAGAGUUUGAUCCUGGCUCAGGACGAACGCUGGCGGCGUGCUUAACACAUGCAAGUCGAGCGAGAUU
rnacentral:rRNA from 1 species